CCGGCCCUCCGCGAGCACCCGCGGGGGAUCGGGUUCCGGACCCGGUCCGAUCCCGUUCCCACCGAGGGGCUGUCCGCGAUCAUGGAGGUGUCCUCGGACGGCGUCGAAUCCUUCUCCAGUCCGCGACGCUACGGCUUGGAUGGUCCACCCGACCCGUCUUGAAACACGGACCAAGGAGUCUAACAUGCGCGCGAGUCGUUGGGUCGGACACGCUCCGCUAAACCCAUAGGCGCAAUGAAAGUGAAGGCCGCCGUCGGGCGGCCGAGGGAGGACGGGGCCGCUCGCGCGUUCCGGCGCGCGUCGGUCCCCGCACCCCCGGGGCGUCUGAUCCCUCAUCGCGAGGGGAGGCGCACCCAGAGCGCACACGUUGGGACCCGAAAGAUGGUGAACUAUGCCUGGCCAGGACGAAGUCAGGGGAAACCCUGAUGGAGGUCCGUAGCGAUUCUGACGUGCAAAUCGAUCGUCGGAGCUGGGUAUAGGGGCGAAAGACUAAUCGAACCAUCUAGUAGCUGGUUCCCUCCGAAGUUUCCCUCAGGAUAGCUUGCGCUCGGAGGAGAGUCUCAUCCGGUAAAGCGAAUGAUUAGAGGCCUUGGGGCCGAAACGGCUUCAACCUAUUCUCAAACUUUAAAUGGGUGAGAACUCCGGCUUGCUCGACUUGUCGAAGCCGGAGACGGGGCUCCGGCCCCCGGGAUCGGAGUGCAUAGUGGGCCACUUUUGGUAAGCAGAACUGGCGCUGUGGGAUGAACCAAACGACGGGUUAAGGCGCCCGAAUCGACGCUCAUGGGAAACCAUGAAAGGUGUUGGUUGCUUAAGACAGCAGGACGGUGGCCAUGGAAGUCGGAAUCCGCUAAGGAGUGUGUAAUAACUCACCUGCCGAAGCAACUAGCCCUGAAAAUGGAUGGCGCUGAAGCGUCGUGCCUAUACCCGGCCGUCGCGGCAGGGCGGACCCGCGAGGGUGCCGUUCGAUGCGGCGACGAGUAGGAGGGUCGCGGCGGCGCGCGCAGAAGGGUCUGGGCUCGAGCCUGCCUGGAGCCGCCGCCGGUGCAGAUCUUGGUGGUAGUAGCAAAUACUCCAGCGAGGCCCUGGAGGACUGAUGUGGAGAAGGGUUUCGUGUGAACAGCCGUUGCACACGAGUCAGUCGAUCCUAAGCCCUAGGAGAAAUCCGACGCCAACGGCGACGGGAAAAAACGAACGAUUGAGAAAGAAACCCGUUGAUCGGGCGAAAGGGAAUCCGGUUCCUAUUCCGGAACCCGGCAGCGGAACCGCUGUUUGUCGGGCCCUCACAAGGGGUUCGUCAGGGUAACCUAAAAGGGCCCGGAGACGCCGUCGGGAGCCCCGGAAAGAGUUUUCUUUUCUGCAUGAGCGUUCGAGUUCCCUGGAAUCCU
rnacentral:rRNA from 1 species